rnacentral:lncRNA from 1 species
UUUAUCCUUCUAACUUUACAAAAAAAUCAUUACAAUCCUUUAUUUAAUUUUAUCUUUUUAACCCUUAAAUUUAUAUUAUUUAUUAAAUCAGCUCAAAAUAGAUAGGAAAAAUUAUUCUUUAUUAACUUUACUAAACAUGGAAGCCAAAGGCCCUGAAAUGAAACAAUUUUCACCUAAGUGUUUUUAUAACUUAUACACUUUUAAAUUAAUAAUGGUAAAAUUACAUGUUAAUCUCAUAAAAAUGAUAAAAUUUUUAUUUAAUUCUUAUAAAAAUAUAAUUAAAAUGGUAAAAUUACAUUUUUAACUAUC